CGUAGGUGGCGAGCGUUAUCCGGAUUUACUGGGCGUAAAGCGUGUGCAGGCGGGGUUUCAAGUGGUGUAUGAAAUCGCUCGGCUUAACCGGGCGCGGUUAUGCCAGACUGAAACUCUGGAGUGCGGGAGAGGGGCGUGGAAUUCCGGGUGUAGUGGUGAAAUGCGUAGAGAUCCGGAGGAACCCCAGAGGCGAAGGCGGCGCCCUGGCCCGACACUGACGCUCAGACACGACAGCAUGGGGAGCGAACGGGAUUAGAAACCCCGGUAGUCCAUGCCGUAAACGAUGCCGACUAGGACGCUGGGGGACUCAACCCCCUCGGUGCCGCAGCUAACGCGAUAAGUCGGCCGCCUGGGGAGUACGGCCGCAAGGCUA
rnacentral:rRNA from 1 species